rnacentral:other from 1 species
AAUACUCUGUGCGGAGGCUUAUUUUGUUCCUACAUUUUUAACUAAAAGGGAGAGUAAGCUCAGUAAUUUUUGAAGUAAACCCACCGUUCAAAAAACGCCAGUGGGAAACGGAUGAAUUAAGGCACUCACCCACCUGCUACACGGCAGGUAACAAAAUCGCUUUCGUGCAGAGUUUUU